UACGUAGGUGGCAAGCGUUGUCCGGAUUUACUGGGCGUAAAGAGCGCGCAGGCGGUCGUUCAAGUCGCGUGUGAAAGCCCCCGGCUCAACUGGGGAGGGUCACGCGAUACUGAUCGACUCGAAGGCAGGAGAGGGAAGUGGAAUUGCCGGUGUAGUGGUGAAAUGCGUAGAGAUCGGCAGGAACACCCAGGGGGAAACCAGUCGACUGGGCAGCACCUGACGCUGAGGUGCGAGAGCGUGGGGAGCGAACCGG
rnacentral:rRNA from 1 species